UACGAAGGGGGCUAGCGUUGCUCGGAAUUACUGGGCGUAAAGGGCGCGUAGGCGGACAGUUUAGUCAGAGGUGAAAUUCCUGGGCUCAACCUGGGGGCUGCGUUUGAUACGUGCGGGCUUGAGUUCGGAAGAGGGUCGUGGAAUUCCCAGUGUAGAGGUGAAAUUCGUAGAUAUUGGGAAGAACACCGGUGGCGAAGGCGGCGACCUGGUCCGAUACUGACGCUGAGGCGCGAAAGCGUGGGGAGCAAACAGG
rnacentral:rRNA from 1 species